CCUACGGGAGGCAGCAGUGGGGAAUAUUGGGCAAUGGAGGAAACUCUGACCCAGCGACGCCGCGUGCGGGAUGAAGGCCUUCGGGUUGUAAACCGCUUUCAGCAGGGAAGAAGCGAAAGUGACGGUACCUGCAGAAGAAGCACCGGCUAACUAUGUGCCAGCAGCCGCGGUAAUACAUAGGGUGCAAGCGUUGUCCGGAAUUAUUGGGCGUAAAGAGCUCGUAGGUGGUUCGUCACGUCGGAUGUGAAAAUCUGGGGCUUAACCCCAGACCUGCAUUCGAUACGGGCGAGCUUGAGUAUGGUAGGGGAGUCUGGAAUUCCUGGUGUAGCGGUGGAAUGCGCAGAUAUCAGGAGGAACACCAAUGGCGAAGGCAGGACUCUGGGCCAUUACUGACACUGAGGAGCGAAAGCGUGGGGAGCGAACAGGAUUAGAUACCCUGGUAGUCCACGCCGUAAACGGUGGGCACUAGUUGUGGGGACCUUCCACGGUCUCUGCGACGCNGCUACGCAUAGUGCCCGCCGCGGGAGUACGAGCGCAGAUAAACUACAAGAAGUAGACGCGUGAGACGUCGCCCGACGGACGACGACGAGGGAGGAGG
rnacentral:rRNA from 1 species